rnacentral:rRNA from 1 species
UACGUAGGGCGCAAGCGUUUGUCCGGAAUUAUUGGGCGUAAAGAGCUCGUAGGCGGCCUGUCGCGUCUGCUGUGAAAUCCCGGGGCUUAACCCCGGGCGUGCAGUGGAUACGGGCUGGCUGGAGGCAGGCAGGGGGAGAACGGAAUUCCCGGUGUAGCGGUGAAAUGCGCAGAUAUCGGGAGGAACACCGGUGGCGAAGGCGGUUCUCUGGGCCUGUCUGACGCUGAGGAGCGAAAAGCGUGGGGGAGCGAACAGG